rnacentral:sRNA from 1 species
GCGAAUAGCCACCCUUGUCGGGAUGUCC